UUAAAUGGUAUUAUGGAACAGGUGCA
rnacentral:piRNA from 1 species